GUUCCUUCAUAAGCUAAAUAACUUUUAUUAUUGAAUAAUUCAUAUACAAUUACAAAAUGAGCACAAUCAUCAAUAAGCUGAUGGUUGGCUUUGGGAUAUAAUUUUUAAUAACUCUCAUUUGGACUAAAGCCAAUCAGUAUAGUAUCGUAAACUCAUCAUCAAUUUAUGAUCAUCGAACUCCUUGACGCUGAAGGCUUUAGUGAAUUGGUCGGUCAGGUUCUUCUUUCC
rnacentral:lncRNA from 1 species